rnacentral:rRNA from 1 species
GACGAACGCUGGCGGCGUGCUUAACACAUGCAAGUCGAACGGAAAGGCCCUGCUUUUGUGGGGUGCUCGAGUGGCGAACGGGUGAGUAACACGUGAGUAACCUGCCCUUGACUUUGGGAUAACUUCGGGAAACUGGGGCUAAUACCGGAUAGGAGCUCCUGCUGCAUGGUGGGGGUUGGAAAGUUUCGGCGGUUGGGGAUGGACUCGCGGCUUAUCAGCUUGUUGGUGGGGUAGUGGCUUACCAAGGCUUUGACGGGUAGCCGGCCUGAGAGGGUGACCGGCCACAUUGGGACUGAGAUACGGCCCAGACUCCUACGGGAGGCAGCAGUGGGGAAUAUUGCACAAUGGGCGGAAGCCUGAUGCAGCAACGCCGCGUGCGGGAUGACGGCCUUCGGGUUGUAAACCGCUUUCGCCUGUGACGAAGCGUGAGUGACGGUAAUGGGUAAAGAAGCACCGGCUAACUACGUGCCAGCAGCCGCGGUGAUACGUAGGGUGCGAGCGUUGUCCGGAUUUAUUGGGCGUAAAGGGCUCGUAGGUGGUUGAUCGCGUCGGAAGUGUAAUCUUGGGGCUUAACCCUGAGCGUGCUUUCGAUACGGGUUGACUUGAGGAAGGUAGGGGAGAAUGGAAUUCCUGGUGGAGCGGUGGAAUGCGCAGAUAUCAGGAGGAACACCAGUGGCGAAGGCGGUUCUCUGGGCCUUUCCUGACGCUGAGGAGCGAAAGCGUGGGGAGCGAACAGGCUUAGAUACCCUGGUAGUCCACGCUGUAAACGGUGGGUACUAGGUGUGGGGUCCAUUCCACGGGUUCCGUGCCGUAGCUAACGCUUUAAGUACCCCGCCUGGGGAGUACGGCCGCAAGGCUAAAACUCAAAGGAAUUGACGGGGCCCCGCACAAGCGGCGGAGCAUGCGGAUUAAUUCGAUGCAACGCGUAGAACCUUACCUGGGUUUGACAUGGAUCGGGAGUGCUCAGAGAUGGGUGUGCCUCUUUUGGGGUCGGUUCACAGGUGGUGCAUGGCUGUCGUCAGCUCGUGUCGUGAGAUGUUGGGUUAAGUCCCGCAACGAGCGCAACCCUUGUUCACUGUUGCCAGCACGUUAUGGUGGGGACUCAGUGGAGACCGCCGGGGUCAACUCGGAGGAAGGUGGGGAUGACGUCAAGUCAUCAUGCCCCUUAUGUCCAGGGCUUCACGCAUGCUACAAUGGCUGGUACAGAGAGUGGCGAGCCUGUGAGGGUGAGCGAAUCUCGGAAAGCCGGUCUCAGUUCGGAUUGGGGUCUGCAACUCGACCUCAUGAAGUCGGAGUCGCUAGUAAUCGCAGAUCAGCAACGCUGCGGUGAAUACGUUCCCGGG